rnacentral:misc_RNA from 1 species
UACGUAGGGGGCAAGCGUUUGCCGGGAUUAUUGGGCGUAAAGCGCCCGUAGGCGGUUUCUUAAGUCUGAUGUGAAAUCUUGCGGCUCAACCGCAAGGGGGCAUUGGAAACUGGGGAACUUGAGUGCAGAAGAGGAGAGUGGAAUUCCACGUGUAGGGGUGAAAUGCGUAGAUAUGUGGAGGAACACCAGUGGCGAAGGCGACUCUCUGGUCUGUAACUGACGCUGAGGUGCGAAAGCGUGGGGAGCGAACAGG